GAAUUGACGGGGGCCCGCACAAGCGGUGGAGCAUGUGGUUUAAUUCGAAUCAACGCGAAGAACCUUACCAGGUCUUGACAUCUUUUGCCAAUCCUAGAGAUAGGACUUUCCCUUCGGGGACAAAAUGACAGGUGGUGCAUGGUUGUCGUCAGCUCGUGUCGUGAGAUGUUGGGUUAAGUCCCGCAACGAGCGCAACCCUUGUUGUUAGUUGCCAGCAUUAAGUUGGGCACUCUAGCGAGACUGCCGGUGACAAACCGGAGGAAGGUGGGGACGACGUCAAAUCAUCAUGCCCCUUAUGACCUGGGCUACACACGUGCUACAAUGGUUGGUACAACGAGUCGCAAGACCGCGAGGUUUAGCAAAUCUCUUAAAGCCGUUCUCAGUUCGGAUCGCAGUCUGCAACUCGACUGCGUGAAGCUGGAAUCGCUAGUAAUCGCGGAUCAGCAUGCCGCGGUGAAUACGUUCCCGGGCCUUGUACACACCGCCCGUCACACCAUGAGAGUUUGUAACACCCGAAGUCGGUGAGGUAACCUUUUGGAGCCAGCCGCCGAAGGUGGGACAGAUGAUUGGGGUGAAGUCGUAACAAGGUAGCCGUAUCGGAAGGUGCGGCUGGAUCACCUCCUUUCUAAGGA
rnacentral:rRNA from 1 species